CUUGAAAAUGGAUAGCACUGGAAUGUUGAGCACGAUGUAGUUUUAUCCUGUAAAGCGAAUGAUUAGAGGUCUUGGGGCUGAAACCAUCUCAACCUAUAAUCAAACUUUAAAUGGGUAAGAAGCCCAGCUGGCUGGCAUGGAGGCGGGGAAUGGAAUUCGAGUGCCUAGUGGGCCACUUUUGGUUAGCAGAACUGGUGCUUCGGGAUGAACCG
rnacentral:ncRNA from 1 species